UAUCUCUCCGUACGGGGAAGGAUGAGAAGCUUCGACUAAGGUUCGAUUCGAGCGAAAGCGAGAAAGCGUUGCCGUAGGCAACGACCCGAAGGGCGAAGCGCGCAGCGCU
rnacentral:sRNA from 1 species